AACGAACGUUGGCGGCGUGGAUUAGGCAUGCAAGUCGUACGCGAAAGAGGGGGCAACUUCUCGAGUAAAGUGGCGAACGGGUGAGUAACGCGUAGGAAACCUGCCUUCGAGAUGGGGAUAACACUCCUAACGGGGUGCUAAUACCGAAUGACACUGCGGGAUCGCAUGGUUCUGCAGUCAAAGGUGGCCUCUGCUUGCAAGCUACCACUC
rnacentral:rRNA from 1 species